ensembl:snoRNA small nucleolar RNA Z17
GAUGCAAAUGAUGGUAAACAGCGAUCAAAGUAUGAAACUUGUGAUUCCACAUUCAAACUGCUGAUGCACC